UGGGACAACCCCGGGAAACCGGGGCUAAUACCGCGUGAGACCACGUCCCGGCAUCGGGAUGAGGCUAAAGUUCCGCAAGGGACGCUUAUUGAGGGAUCCACGGCCUAUCAGCUAGUUGGUGGGGUAACGGCCUACCAAGGCUACGACGGGUAGCCGGUCUGAAAGGACGACCGGCCGCAAUGGCACUGAGACACGGGCCAUACUCCUACGGGAGGCAGCAGUGGGGAAUUUUGCGCAAUGGGGGAAACCCUGACGCAGCGAUGCCGCGUGGAGGAUGAAGGUCUUCGGAUUGUAAACUCCUUUUACAGGGGAAAAAUGUCUGCGUGAAUAACGUAUAAUGAUGGUACUCUGUGAAUAAGCCACGGCUAACUUCGUGCCAGCAGCCGCGGUAAGACGAAGGUGGCGAGCGUUACUCGGAAUUACUAGGCGUAAAGCGUGGGCAGGCGGCUUGAUAAGUCUGUUGUGAAAGCUCCUGGCUUAACUGGGAGAGGUCAAUGGAUACUGUCGGGCUUGAAUGUGGGAGGGGUCACUGGAAUUCCUGGUGUAGCGGUGAAAUGCGUAGAUAUCAGGAGGAACACCAAUGGCGAAAGCAGGUGACUGGACCACUAUUGACGCUCAUCCACGAAAGCCGGGGGAUCAAACAGGAUUAGAUACCCUGGUAGUCCCGGCUGUAAACGAUGUUCACUUGGUGUGGGGGGUACCGACCCCUUCCGCGCCGACGCUAACGCAUUAAGUCAGCCGCCUG
rnacentral:rRNA from 1 species